rnacentral:rRNA from 1 species
CGGGACGGGUGAGUAAUGUCUGGGAAACUGCCUGAUGGAGGGGGAUAACUACUGGAAACGGUAGCUAAUACCGCAUAACGUCGCAAGACCAAAGAGGGGGACCUUCGGGCCUCUUGCCAUCGGAUGUGCCCAGAUGGGAUUAGCUGUAGGUGGGGUAACGGCUCACCUAGGCGACGAUCCCUAGCUGGUCUGAGAGGAUGACCAGCCACACUGGAACUGAGACACGGUCCAG